CCUACGGGAGGCAGCAGUAAGGAAUAUUGGACAAUGGUGGCAACACUGAUCCAGCCAUGCCGCGUGCAGGAUGACGGUUCUAUGAAUUGUAAACUGCUUUUAUACGGGAAAAACCCUCAAGACGUGAUUUUGAGCUGAUUGUACCGUAAGAAUAAGGAUCGGCUAACUUCGUGCCAGCAGCCGCGGUAAGACGAAGGAUCCAAGCGUUAUCCGGAUUUAUUGGGUUUAAAGGGUGCGUAGGCGGACUCAUAAGUCAGUGGUGAAAUCCCAAAGCUUAACUUUGGAACUGCCAUUGAUACUGUAAGUCUUGAGUAUGUUUGAAGUGGGCGGAAUGUAUUGUGUAGCGGUGAAAUGCUUAGAUAUAAUACAGAACACCAAUUGCGAAGGCAGCUCACUAAACCAUAACUGACGCUGAGGCACGAAAGCAUGGGGAGCAAACAGGAUUAGAUACCCUGGUAGUCCAUGCCCUAAACGAUGAAUACUCGAUAUGUGCGAUAUACAGUACGUGUCUAAGCGAAAGCAUUAAGAUUCCACCUGGGGAGUACGCUCGCAGAGAGAAGACGAAGAAGUAGACGGACGAGAGACGNGCGACGGCGACGACGAGGGGAGGAGG
rnacentral:rRNA from 1 species